AAUCAACGCUGGCGGCGUGCCUCAGACAUGCAAGUCGAACGAUUAAAGCUCUCUUCGGAGAGUGCAUAGAGUGGCGCACGGGUGAGUAACACGUAAGUAAUCUACCUUCGAGUGGGGAAUAACGUCCGGAAACGGACGCUAAUACCGCAUAAUGCAGCGGCAUCGUAAGAUGACAGUUGUUAAAGAUUUAUCGCUUGAAGAGGAGCUUGCGGCAGAUUAGCUAGUUGGUAAGGUAAUGGCUUACCAAGGCUACGAUCUGUAACCGGUCUUAGAGGACGGUCGGUCACACUGACACUGAAUAACGGGUCAGACUCCUACGGGAGGCAGCAGUCGGGAAUUUUGGGCAAUGGGCGAAAGCCUGACCCAGCAACGCCGCGUAGAAGGAUGAAGUAUUUCGGUAUGUAAACUUCGAAAGAUAGGAAGAAUAAAUGACGGUACUAUUUAUAAGGUCCGGCUAACCACGUGCCAGCAGCCGCGGUAAU
rnacentral:rRNA from 1 species